ensembl:lncRNA
CUGACCCUUAUGGCCAUUCUUGCAGUCUGCUUGCACAUGUCCAUGUCUCUGACCUCCCAAGCUACCUCCAAGCAACUUUAUCCUUCACUUUCCUGCCUCCAUGUCUGCCACUGUGGAGAUCUGGGACACUUGGGCACAGUCGGGAAAGCAAGACCAGACUGUAGCACACAUCAGCAUAAGCAACCGAUGGGAUGCAAAAGAAGGCGACGACAUGUCUUUUCUGAAGGAUGACCCUGACAGCCAGAGGAUCCUUGGUACAGACAAGCUGAAGAGCAGAGGUGAGGAGUGGGUGGAAGAGAACUGCCCAGCAGAGCUGGAGGAGAAGGUGAAGCAGCCAAGCCUCCCAGAUCAUGGGGCCUCCUCAUCACAAGGGCUGCGAAGUGGGAAGGUCCCAUCUGCCCACAAUGGCCAGAAGGGGGAACUGAGAGCAGUGAAGGGAUGCAGGGAGGUACCUGUGGCCGUCACUGGUGACACAGAGCUGGGGACCAAGCUGAGUAAGGAGAGCAUUGGGGAAGAUGGCAGUGUGAAGCCUGGCACUGCUGACAUCCCCCAGGAGAAGGAGAGCACAAACAGCAGUGCUCCACAGAGCAGCCUUCCGAGCACUGUGCAAGCCACCAGGCACAGCAGUGAGGAGACCGUGUCAUUGCCCCUUCAAGCUGACUUAAAGAAAAGCACAGCUUCAGAAUGGGAAUCCACUGAGGACUCUUCGAACAGCCAUGGAGGAAAGCUGGACACAGCAGCAGGAUGCAGAUGGGAGGCAGGUCAAGGACAGCUGGUGCGAAAAAGAGGGGAGGAAGUGACCCAAAACACUGUCCUUGAGGGGCAAACACUUGCACUGAAAGGUGGUGAAGACACUGAAGGCACUGAACACAGAGCAGAGCCUUUGACCCCAAGGGAAGACAGCUCCAACAAGACUGUUGUGUCUGAGCAGGACACGGCAAAAUCACAGUCCAGCAAAGAGGACCAGCCUGAGGAGUGCAAGGACAAGGACACCGGGGACUCUCUGAACUAACAAAGACUGCACUGGCUUGCCUGAGACAGAAGGAUAACAUGCUGAAGGUGGUGGAUGAGAAGAGGAGCACAGCCUUGUCCUCCCUCUUUGACCUCGUAUGAGAUUGGCUUUCAGCACCUGCCCUGUGCCUUUCAGCACCCAUUCACCACAAGGGGGGUCCCCCAUCACCACUCCCCCCUUCCUGCACACAGUUUCAGUGUCACCCCCAUCUAGUCCUAUGCCAAAGGACAGGGCAAGCUACACACACAUCCCUACCCUUCAGAGAAAACGGUCACUUUUCUUUUGCAUUUGUUUUCCUUAUAUUGCAGCUGUGUGGCAAGCCAGUGAAUUGUCUACUGGAUGCACUUUAUUUUAUUUAAUAACUAAUUCUGUUAAAAGUUAAGAUUCAGCUUUCUGGGCUCACCGACCCUUUCCUUCCCUUAGAGGCUGCCAGGGCACUGCACAUGCCAGGAGCAUGACAGGGGUGAUGGGAGCUCUCCCUUGCUGCUUGGUAGGGAGCAGGUGACAAAGCAAAUGACUAGGAACAGCCACCUCAUAGGAGACAUGGUGAGAGUGGUUAUAUUGUAGUUCUAUAGGUGGGUGAAAAACUAGCAUUCAAAGCAACUGUUGUACUAGAGGUUUUAAGUUGUUGGAAUGCUGGCAGAGAUGUUUGGUAGUCGCAUGGGUUGCAGGGCACGAAGGGGAUAGAGCAUUCAUUAGUUACACCACGGGAUGCAGAGGCUUUUGACAAACACACAUCAACCACACCAUCUUAUAAUUUAAGAGCUUGCUUUUCUCCUCCUGAUAGAUUUAGUAAGGCACAAGUACCAGAGGCUGAAUCAGCACACUAAGAGACCACGCUUUUUCCAAGGAAGGUUGCUGGCUGGAUUGAGCGGGUACACACAUGGCUUGGCAAAGCACCAAGCCCACUCCAUAAGAAUGAGAAGUGGGAAGAGGUGGGAAGACUGAGUUAAGUAGACACACUUACAGUUGUACGUGCCAAGCAGGGCAAGGAGGAGGGCAGCACAAACAAUCUUCCUUCUCAACAACCCUGCACCAAGGAAGGGGUCAGCAGUGGGACCCUGGGCAAAUUGGAGUUGAAGGUGUAGGCUUCUUAUCAAGUGCUUUCACCUUCCCAGUUGUGCCUUUCAUAGCCUUGUGCUUGAAUAAAUGGAAAGUAGCUGCCA